AUACGUAGGUGGCAAGCGUUGUCCGGAAUUAUUGGGCGUAAAGCGCGCGCAGGUGGUUCCUUAAGUCUGAUGUGAAAGCCCCCGGCUCAACCGGGGAGGGUCAUUGGAAACUGGGGAACUUGAGUGCAGAAGAGGAUAGUGGAAUUCCAAGUGUAGCGGUGAAAUGCGUAGAGAUUUGGAGGAACACCAGUGGCGAAGGCGACUGUCUGGGCUGUAACGGACACGGAGGCGCGAAAGCGUGGGGAGCAAACAGGAUUAGAUACCCUGGUAUUCGACGCCGUAAACGAUGAGUGCUAAGUGUUGGGGGGUUUCCGCCCCUCAGUGCUGCAGCUAACGCAUUAAGCACUCCGCCUGGGGAGUACGGUCGCAAGACUGAAACUCAAAUGAAUUGGCGGGG
rnacentral:rRNA from 1 species